CUUCCCUCCUGCCGCUCUCUCCAGCUGGCAGACCACGGGAGCAGAGCAGCCGAGCACCUGCGCCGGGCCCUGCCCUACCUGCAGAGCCCACAGGAGUCCCUGCGAGUGGCGGCCAUCAGGUUCAUUGGGAUGGCCGGGCGGAGCUUGACGGGGAAGUAUCAAGAGCUGAAGCUUAUCUACAGUGCCCUGGAAGUAAUGGCAAAUGACAUCAGCCCCUCUGUCAGCAGCCUGUCAAUUCAAACUUGGCAUAUCCUCAGGGCAUUAGACAGACCUCGAUAUUCCACCUUCAGGAAUCUGCAUGGUGAGCUCCGUGGGCCAUGGAGGACAAGGCUUCGUCUGCUGGGGCUCAGCUGCCUGCGCUGCUGGAGCUCUGCACAGAGAUGAGCCCAGAGGCUCUGUCUGCUGGGGCCACCUGAGCCAGCAGAGAUUUUCAGUUUGUUCAAGACUGUUCUUUUCUUCUUUUUGUUUUUCUUUAGUAUAUAAAUAUAGGAUGUGUUAUAAUAGACAGA